rnacentral:ribozyme from 1 species
UGCCCAGUAACUCCUAUCCCUACCUCCUCGCGGUACUGGCCGGGGUACGAGUAACCUUUGGGAAGAUCGGGUAACCAACCCCCGGUGGGAACUUUGGUCGUAUGCUGACAGGGAGGG